ensembl:snoRNA
AAGAAAAAAAGAGUGCUACAGCAACAAAGUCUAACCUAUUCCAGUGCUCUCCUCUAUGAGACAAGCCGUUAUAUAGACUUAGACAGU